rnacentral:ncRNA from 1 species
AGCGAUACUGACGUGCAAAUCGUUCGUCUGACUUGGGUAUAGGGGCGAAAGACUAAUCGAACCAUCUAGUAGCUGGUUCCCUCCGAAGUUUCCCUCAGGAUAGCUGGAGCCCCGUACGAGUUCUAUCAGGUAAAGCCAAUGAUUAGAGGCAUUGGGGACGCAACGUCCUCGACCUAUUCUCAAACUUUAAAUAGGUAGGAUGGCUCGGCUG